rnacentral:rRNA from 1 species
GAUGAACGCUAGCUACAGGCUUAACACAUGCAAGUCGAGGGGAAACGCUGAGAGAGCUUGCUCUCUUAGGCGUCGACCGGCGCACGGGUGAGUAACGCGUAUCCAACCUACCCAUUACAGGGGGAUAACCUUGCGAAAGUAAGACUAAUACCCCAUGGCAUAUUAUGGUGGCAUCAUUAUAUGAUUAAGGAUUUAUUUGUAAUGGAUGGGGAUGCGUCUGAUUAGCUUGUUGGCGGGGUAACGGCCCACCGAGGCAACGAUCAGUAGGGGUUCUGAGAGGAAGGUCCCCCAGAUUGGAGCUGAGAUACGGACCAAAAUACGACGCAGGGCAGCAGUGAGGACUACAGUGGAAGGGACGAGAGCGUGAACCAGCCAAGUAGGGUGCAGGAGGACGGGGCUAUGGGUUGUAAACUGCUUGUAUAGGGGAAUAAAGUGAGCUACGUGUAGUUUAUUGAAGGUACCCGAUGAAUAAGGACCGGCUAACUCCGUG